UCCCGGUGGAGUCCGGACACCACCUAAAUCAACGGGGCGGAACCCGAACAGCCAUAUGAGUAGGGAUGAGU
rfam:Aeromonas schubertii strain ATCC 43700 Scaffold4, whole genome shotgun sequence.